GAUGAACGCUGGCGGCGUGCCUAAUACAUGCAAGUCGAGCGAACGGACGAUAAGCUUGCUUCUCUGAUGUUAGCGGCGGACGUGUGAGUAACACGUGUAUAACCUACCUAUAAUACUGGUAUAACUUCGGGAAACCGUAGCUAAUACCGUAUAAUAUUUUGAACCGCAUGGUUCAAAAGUGAAAGACGGUCUUGCUGUCACUUAUAGAUGGAUCCGCGCUGCAUUAGCUAGUUGGUAAGUUAACGGCUUAUCAAGGCAACGAUGCGUAGACGACGGGAGAGGGGGAUAGGCCACACUGGAAGGGGAACAGGGUCCAGAGUACUAAGGGAGGCAGCAGUAGGGAAUGGGACGCAAUGGGGGGAAGUAUGACGGAGCAAGGCGGAGUGAGAGAUGAAGGUGUUGGGAGCGUAAAAAUGUGUUAUGAGGGAAGAACAGAUGUGGAAGUAAAUGAGCAGAUCGUGACGGUAACGAAUAAGAAAGCAACGGCUAACUACGUG
rnacentral:rRNA from 1 species